rnacentral:misc_RNA from 1 species
GUAGGUGAACCUGCGGAAGGAUCAUUAUCGAGAGAGGGCCUUCGUGCUCCCGGGGGUUCCGGCCCCUAACUCUUCACCCAUUGUUUAUCUACCUUUGUUGCUUUGGCGGGCCACGGGGCCUUCCCGCGCUGGCUCUCGGGCCGGCGAGCGCCCGUCAGAGGCCCAUUAAAUUCUGUUUAUUAGUGUUGUCCGAGUAAAAACAUAAAUAAGUAAAAACUUUCAACAACGGAUCUCUUGGUUCCA